ACUUAGUGGCGGACGGGUGAGUAACGCGUGGGUAACCUGCCUCACACAGGGGGAUAACAGUUGGAAACGACCGCUAAUACCGCAUAACCCGCCGGUAUCGCAUGAUACUGACGGAAAAGAUUUUAUCGGUGUGAGAUGGACCCGCGUCUGAUUAGCCAGUUGGCAGGGUAACGGCCUACCAAAGCGACGAUCAGUAGCCGGCCUGAGAGGGUGAACGGCCACAUUGGGACUGAGACACGGCCCAAACUCCUACGGAAGGCAGCAG
rnacentral:rRNA from 1 species